CCUGAAUGAUGAAAUUUUCCACACUAUUCGCAGUUUCCACGCAAGCCAUCACUCGAGCCUUUGAGAUGGACGAUGAGCGGCAAUCCUUCCUUGGAUGUCUGACUUU
rnacentral:snoRNA from 1 species